UCUCUCUCUCUCUCUCAGUUUUCGGGGCCCGUGGUCACGCGAAGUCUGUCAGCCUGUCUGUCUGUCUCUCUGUCUGUCUGUUCGUAGGUCCAGUAAAUGCUAGGGCGGAGGAGGAGGAGGAGGUUAAAAUAUUCAGUAAUUACACAGACCCCGAGAAAUAUGAUAAAUAAUAAGAGAAUGAAGAAGACUCAGCACAUGCCCGGAGGAAGGAAGUGGAAGUGAGGAAAGGAAGGAAAAAGGCAGAGAAGUUACAGAUGAAAGGAAGAAUUGGAAGACAUGAGAAAGAAGCGGAAAGGAGGAAAGGAAGGAAAAGGCAGAGGAGUUACAGAGGAUUGAAGGAAGAAGAGGAAAAUGUGAGAAAGAAGCGGAAGGGAGGAAAGGAAGGAAGAAGGGAGAGGGCAGUGACAGAGGAUGAAAGGAGGAAAAAGGACAUUUGAGAAGGAAUCGGAAUGGAGGGAAGGAAGGAAAAUGCAGAAGAGUUAUGGAGAAUGAAAGAAAGAAUAGGAAGAAAAGGAAACGGAAGGAAGGAAAGGAAGAAGGGAGACUAGCUACAAAGGAUGAAGGAAAAAGAGGGAGAUUUGAGAAAAAAAAGAAGGGAGAAAGAGAAGGAAAAUGCAGAAGAGUUACAGAGGAGAAAGAAAGAAUAGGAGGAAAAGGAAGCGGAAGGAAGGAAAGGAAGAAAGGAGAGAGCAGUGACAGAAGAUGAAAGGAGGUUCAGGGAGAUGUAAGAAGGAAGCGGAAGGAAAAAAAAAGGGAAGGAAAAGGCAGACAACAGUUACACAGGCUAAAAGGAAGACCAAGAAGGAGUAAUGAUGGCGAUUAUGAUUGCGAGGAGGAGGAAGAGAAGGAAGAGGGAAGAAGAUAAAGGGAGGAUAAAGAAGAAGAAAAAAGGAAGGCAUAGGGGAGACGGAAAAAGAAAAAAAGAGGAGGUCAAGGAGGAAGAGGUGACGGAGGACGCCGAUAUGGAGGAAGAGGAGAAAGAAGAAGAAGAAGAAGAAGAAGAAAAAGAAGAACAAGAACAAGAAGAACAAGGGCAAGAACGAUAACAGGAAGAACAAGAAAGAAAAUAAAACAAGAAGAACAAAACCAAGAACAACAAUGAGAAUAACCAGAAAACAAGAAAAAGGAAAAAAAAACGAGGUGGAGGAAAAAACAAAAGAGAGAGAGAGAGAGAGAGAGAGAGAGAGAGAGAGAGAGAGAGAGAGAGAGAGAGAGAGAGAGAGAGAGAGAGAGAGAACAGGUGGCCAGGUAGGAAGAUGUAAACAGCCCCUUAAUUAAAGCUGUGUACAGGUAAACACCCUCGUAACGGGGUCUUCAAACGCCCCUCCCUACGGCGCCGGUGGUGAUGGUGGUGAUGGGUGGUGGUGAGGGUGAUAGCGGUGGUGAUGGUGGUGGUGAUAGUAGUAGUAGUGGUGGUGGUGGUGUUUUUUGUUGUAGUGGGUGUGAUGGUGGUAAUGAUAGUAGUGGUGAUGGUGUGUUUUUUGGGUAUAGUGUUGGCGGUGAUGUCUGUGAUAGGGGUGUAGGAGUGGUGGUGGUGGUGGUGGUGUAGCGUUUCAGUAAUGUUAGUCGCAUCGAUCUAUUGGCAUUUCUGUUAUUAUUAUUAUUAUUAUUAUAGAUCUGUGUGUGUGUGUGUGUGUGUGUGUGUGUGUGUGUGUGUGUGUGUGUGUGUGUGUUUA